AAUUCAUAGGAUAUGAUGCUUAGGUGAACUUACGUGCCAAAUAUAAAUUCCCUAAAUUGGAAAAGAACAGACAAGUGGAAAAUAAUGGCCUUCACAUAAAGAAUCUUUUCACAAAGGCAUGAAAGGGUAAAAUAGAAAUAAUGAGUAGUCAGCUAAUUGUCCAAGGAAUGAAAGUUUAGAAAAUGUCAACUAUUAUCUCUAUGUUAAUUAGCAAAUCACUGUAUAAUGAGACUAAAAUUAAGAUUAAUGAUUAUUGUUAAUUCUAACAGUAUCCUUUCUCUGUGGGUUAUUUGAAUUGCAUUCUGAUUUUUCAUACCUUGACAAAAAAGAGAUAGCAGGGAACUAUGAUCUGAGUAUCUUCACCAAUAGCCU
rnacentral:lncRNA from 1 species